UGGCACUGAUCACAUUUGUUGAUGAGGUCGGCUGCGUCUUUUUGGAUAGUUGGCCAAUAAUAAUCUUAUCGAAUAAUUUUAUAGACUAGCGAUCUAUCCUCUAAGUGAUUACCAUAGAUUCCUUCAUGAAUUUUUCGAAGAACAUAAUCAGCUUUCGAUGGUCGCAAACAUCAAAGUAAUAUAAAUGAAUACUAUCUCUUGUAUAAUCAAUCAUCUUGAAUAACAUACUAUGGA
rnacentral:lncRNA from 1 species